rnacentral:rRNA from 1 species
CCUACGGGAGGCAGCAGUGAGGAAUAUUGGUCAAUGGACGAGAGUCUGAACCAGCCAAGUAGCGUGAAGGAUGUCUGCCCUAUGGGUUGUAAACUUCUUUUAUAUGGGAAUAAAACGUUCCACGUGUGGGAUUUUGUAUGUACCAUAUGAAUAAGGAUCGGCUAACUCCGUGCCAGCAGCCGCGGUAAUACGGAGGAUCCGAGCGUUAUCCGGAUUUAUUGGGUUUAAAGGGAGCGUAGGUGGAUUGUUAAGUCAGUUGUGAAAGUUUGCGGCUCAACCGUAAAAUUGCAGUUGAAACUGGCAGUCUUGAGUACAGUAGAGGUGGGCGGAAUUCGUGGUGUAGUGGUGAAAUGCUUAGAUAUCACGAAGAACUCCGAUUGCGAAGGCAGUUCACUGGACUGCAACUGACACUGAGGCUCGAAAGUGUGGGUAUCAAACAGGAUUAGAUACCCCAGUAGUC